rnacentral:SRP_RNA from 1 species
GCCGGGGAACUCCUGGAGUCAAGUGGUCCGAACCAGGUCAGGACAGGAAUGUAGCAGCCUUAAGGAACAAGCUUGAUGCCAGGAGCCAUCUCCGGCCUU